CUGAUAAGCAAGCAUAAUGUGUAAAGGAGAGUUGGGUAUCUAUGAACACAAUAAGAAUGGGAGCAUCUGGACCUGCACUCAGUGUGAGUGUGCAAGUAUGUGUGCCUUGGGAAAGUUAUCAAAGAGCAUGCACUUAGGUGCCAGUGUCUGUCCGUGUGUGGAUAGGUCUAAGAGUAUGUGUGGGUGUCUGUGAUUUUGUGCUUGGUACUAAU